AACGAACGCUGGCGGCAUGCCUAACACAUGCAAGUCGAACGGACGUAGCAAUACGUGAGUGGCGGACGGGUGAGUAACGCGUGGGAACCUGCCCGGAAGUGAGGAAUAACCGAGGGAAACUUCGGCUAAUACCGCAUAUGCCCUGAGGGGCGAAAGGCUUCGGCCGCUUCCGGAGGGGCCCGGCGUCCGAUUAGCUAGUUGGUGGGGUAACGGCCUACCAAGGCAGUGAUCGGUAGCUGGUCUGAGAGGACGAUCAGCCACACUGGGACUGAGACACGGCCCAGACUCCUACGGGAGGCAGCAGUGGGGAAUAUUGGACAAUGGGCGAAAGCCUGAUCCAGCCAUGCCGCGUGAGUGAUGAAGGCCCUAGGGUUGUAAAGC
rnacentral:rRNA from 1 species